rnacentral:rRNA from 1 species
UACAGAGGUCUCGAGCGUUAGGCGGAAUCACUGGGCUUAAAGCGUGUGUAGGUGGAUCGUUAAGUACCUUGUGAAAUCCCACGGCUUAACCGUGGAACUGCUUGGUAUACUGGCGGUCUUGAGCCAGCUAGGGGCUACCGGAACAAAUGGUGGAGCGGUGAAAUGCGUAGAUAUCAGGAGGAACACCGGUGGCGAAGGCGGAUCUCUGGGCCUUACCUGACGCUCAGGCGCGAAAGCUAGGGGAGCGAACUGG